GACGAACGCUGGCGGCGUGCUUAACACAUGCAAGUCGAACGGAAAGGCCCUGCUCUUGCGGCGUGCACGAGUGGCGAACGGGUGAGUGACACGUGAGUAAACUGUCCUUGACUUUGGGAUAACUUCAGGAAACUGGGGCUAAUACCGGAUAGGAGCUACUGCUGCAUGGUGGGGGAUGGAAAGUUUCGGCGGUUGUGGCUGGACUGGCGGCUUAUCAGCUUGUUGGUGGGGUAGUGGCUUACCAAGGCUUUGAAGGGUAGCCGGCCUGAGAGGGUGACCGGCCUCCAUGCUCCUGCGGGACGGCGCAGUCGCGUACGGUACGCAGCAGGCGGGAAUAUUGCAGAGUGGGCGGACGUGAGUGGUAGCAACCCUCCGAUCGUGAAGCUCUGCUACUAGUUGUAAACCAAUUUCUACUUAGACGAAGCCGUAUUGACGGUAACUGGUCAAAAAGCACCGGCUAACUACGUG
rnacentral:rRNA from 1 species